UGUGGGUUGCAGCUGGCCUUUGGGCAUGUGCUCACCUUCAUCAUCUUUAUAUUUCCACCUGUGCACCUUUUGUAGACAGGAAAGACAAGGGAUUUAUUGUGGUGCCAUUUUAGGCCCCCAUUUAUUUCUUGUGUAUUCCUUGUCUAUGUUUUUAUAUACCCCAAAAAUGUAACAGAAUGUUAAUCUAUGGGCCUUUGUGCUUAUAAACAAAAAUUAUACAACUUUCAGCAACGGAUCUCUUGGCUCUCGCAUCGAUGAAGAACGCAGCGAAAUGCGAUAAGUAAUGUGAAUUGCAGAAUUCAGUGAAUCAUCGAAUCUUUGAACGCACCUUGCGCUCCUUGGUAUUCCGAGGAGCAUGCCUGUUUGAGUGUCAUUAAAUUAUCAAAAAAAGAUCUUCAAUGCUCUUGUUUUGGAUGUGAGGGUUUUUGUUGGCGAAAGUCGACUCCCUUGAAAUGUAUUAGCUUGGUUGACUAGACUUUGUCUAUUGGUGUGAUAAUUAUCUACGCCAUUGGAUUGUCUGCUUGUCAAACUGCUUCUAAUUGUCCCUUUAGGGACUCUAUUAAAUGACCAUUGACCUCAAAUCAG
rnacentral:rRNA from 1 species